AUCUAAUUAAUUGCCUGGAUUCUUUAUUGUGAAGCAAGAUACAAUGACAAAGUCUAUGAAAUUUAUAGUUAUCACCUAAUGCAGGUUUGGGUCAGGUUGGAUUUAAGCACUUUUUUUCAAUUGUUGUUCAUAAAAAUAACAACAAAACCAAGUAUGGACUCUUUCCCUCAAGAAUGAAUAUAAAAGGAAUCUGUCACACACAAAAACAAACAAAUAAAUAACAACAGAAACCCACUAUAUCCCAGGAUGGGGAGAAGUGAUACACUGGCUUUACUUCGGCACGUAUUUGGAAGCAGUGACUUUAGACUGAAUUUAACUACCAAGAAUAAAGGAAAUUACAUUACUCUUUCAUAUUUGUUUCUACCCCAAAGUGUUAAUUGUCAUGUAAUCUGUUAUCAAUUAGGGUAGAAAAGUAGAUAUCGUGAAUCAUUAUAGCCGAAGGACUCUAAUAAAAAUUUUGCUCAGUGAAUGACUUAGAGGUAUGAGCAGUUUUAAAGAUUAGCCAACAAUAAAUCCUAGAAUAUGCAAAUAUUUAGAGAUUUCCUUUUCCUCAAGUGAUUUGGCAACAAUUUUUAUGCAAGGUCUGAAAAGAAAUAAGACAAAGAUGUGUUAAACUUUAUUUAUAGAAAAAAUGUCUAUUCAACAAAAUAGACAUUAAAAAUGUCUAUUCAGUCAAAAUAGUACCAAGUUUGGCAUUCUUACUAAUAGUAGUAGAACAAAUCCUAUAAUAGUCACAGUUUUUCUGAUGUUAUUUUUAUGGAUUUGGGGGAUAUUCAUCUAUUCAUUUUUGAAACAGGGUCUAACCACAUAGCAUAUACUGGCCUUGAACUCUUGAUGCUUCUGCCUUAGCUACCUUAGUGACAGGAUUACAGAUGUGUGCCACCGUACACUGGUGGUAGCAUUUCUCAAAAGGCCUAGAGUACUGACAGCAACAGCAGUCAUAUUUCUAGUAUCAGAAUUAUCAUGAUGGUGUCAGGUUCCUGAACACUAUCAAAAUUCUUAUACUGUAGUAAGGCAACAUAUCCUUUUCUUGGGAAAAGAACAGAAAAAAAAAGAAUAAAAAGAAUAUAAAUCUAGAAAUGUGAAUGU
rnacentral:lncRNA from 1 species